rnacentral:tRNA from 1 species
AGUUAAUUAGCUUAAUUAAGCAUAUAUCUUGAAAAUAUAAGAAAGAUUAAUAAAUCUAUUAACUU